GUCGGACGGGAUUUAGGAGCUUGCUUCUAAUGAGAGUGGCGCACGGGUGCGUAACACGUAUGUAACCUACCUUCUUCAGGGGGAUAGCCUCUCGAAAGAGAGAUUAAGACCGCAUAAAAUCACAAUGUGGCAUCACAAAAUGAUCAAAUAUUUAUAGGAAGAAGAUGGGCAUGCGGAACAUUAGCUAGUUGGUAAGGUAACGGCUUACCAAGGCUACGAUGUUUAGGGGAUCUGAGAGGAUGACCCCUCACACUGGUACUGAGACACGGACCAGACUCCUACGGGAGGCAGCAGUAAGGAAUAUUGGUCAAUGGGCGGAAGCCUGAACCAGCCAUGCCGCGUGCAGGAAGACGGCCCUACGGGUUGUAAACUGCUUUUACAGGGGAAUAAACCUCAUUACGUGUAAUGAGCUGAAUGUACUCUGAGAAUAAGGAUCGGCUAACUCCGUGCCAGCAGCCGCGGUAAUACGGAGGAUCCAAGCGUUAUCCGGAUUUAUUGGGUUUAAAGGGUGCGUAGGUGGCCUGUUAAGUCAGGGGUGAAAGACGGUAGCUCAACUAUCGCAGUGCCCUUGAUACUGAUGGGCUUGAAUAAACUAGAGGUAGGCGGAAUGUGACAAGUAGCGGUGAAAUGCAUAGAUAUGUCACAGAACACCAAUNGCGAAGGCAGCUUACUAUGGUUUUAUUGAC
rnacentral:rRNA from 1 species